rnacentral:rRNA from 1 species
AUUGAACGCUGGCGGAAUGCUUUACACAUGCAAGUCGAACGGUAGAGGGGGCAACCCCCUUGAGAGUGGCGAACGGGUGAGUAAUAUAUCGGAACGUGCCCAGUCGUGGGGAUAACGUAGCGAAAGUUACGCUAAUACCGCAUACGAUCUAAGGAUGAAAGCGGGGGACUCGCAAGAGCCUCGCGCGAUUGGAGCGGCCGAUAUCAGAUUAGGUAGUUGGUGGGGUAAAGGCUCACCAAGCCAACGAUCUGUAGCUGGUCUGAGAGGACGACCAGCCACACUGGGACUGAGACACGGCCCAGACUCCUACGGGAGGCAGCAGUGGGGAAUUUUGGACAAUGGGCGAAAGCCUGAUCCAGCAAUGCCGCGUGAGUGAUGAAGGCCUUAGGGUUGUAAAGCUCUUUUACCCGGGAUGAUAAUGACAGUACCGGGAGAAUAAGCUCCGGCUAACUCCGUGCCAGCAGCCGCGGU